GGCAAUAUAACUUAGUUGGUAGAGUGUUUGCCUUGCAUGCAAAAGGCCCUGGGUUUGAUCCCCAGCAUCACCA
rfam:Ictidomys tridecemlineatus contig020278, whole genome shotgun sequence.